rnacentral:siRNA from 1 species
UACUUUUGCCGAGAUUGGAUG